rnacentral:rRNA from 1 species
CAAAGAACUUUGAAGAGAGAGUUCAAGAGAACGUGAAAUCCUAGCGGUUGAAGCGGAGAGAGUUGACGUAGCUCGGCGGCUAAGCUUAGUGUUGUCUUUUCGGAGGCUUCGCUUUGUGGUGUCCGCUUAUAGCUGCGCCGGUAGCGUUGUUCGAGCUUUCUGACCUGGUUAGUGUUGCCCACUUCGGUGGUGUCUUGCUGCCGGCGAGGUCUGCCGUAUUAACGUUUAAUUUGCCUUACGGCAAGUACCGGUGUGAAGGUCAGCCACCUUUCCGACCCGUCUUGAAACACGGACCGAGGAGUGUAACUUGUACGCGAGUCAGAGGGUGGAAAACCCUACGGCGCAAUGAAAGUAAAGGUCGGUUAACCGGCUGACAUGGGAUCCGUGCUUCGGCGCGGCGCACCAUGGCCCUGUCUUGAGAGCUUGCUCUUGGGCAGAGGUAGAGCGUACAGGUUGCGACCCGAAAGAUGGUGAACUACACUUGAGCAGGACGAAGCCAGAGGAAACUCUGGUGGAAGUCCGUAUCGGUUCUGACGUGCAAAUCGAUCGAUAGACUUGAGUAUAGGGGCGAAAGACUAAUCGAACCAUC